rnacentral:rRNA from 1 species
CCUACGGGAGGCAGCAGUGGGGAAUAUUGCACAAUGGGGGAAACCCUGAUGCAGCGACGCCGCGUGAGUGAAGAAGUAAUUCGUUAUGUAAAGCUCUAUCAGCAGGGAAGAAAAUGACGGUACCUGAGUAAGAAGCCCCGGCUAACUACGUGCCAGCAGCCGCGGUAAUACGUAGGGUGCAAGCGUUACUCGGAAUCACUGGGCGUAAAGAGCGCGUAGGCGGGAAGACAAGUCAGAUGUGAAAUCCCGCGGCUCAACCGCGGAACUGCAUUUGAAACUGUUUUUCUUGAGUACCGGAGAGGUCAUCGGAAUUCCUUGUGUAGCGGUGAAAUGCGUAGAUAUAAGGAAGAACACCAGUGGCGAAGGCGGAUGACUGGACGGCAACUGACGGUGAGGCGCGAAAGCGUGGGGAGCAAACAGGAUUAGAUACCCUGGUAGUC